rnacentral:rRNA from 1 species
AGCGAACGCUGGCGGCAGGCCUAACACAUGCAAGUCGAACGAACCUUUCGGGGUUAGUGGCGGACGGGUGAGUAACACGUGGGAACGUGCCUUUAGGUUCGGAAUAACUCAGGGAAACUUGUGCUAAUACCGAAUGUGCCCUUCGGGGGAAAGAUUUAUCGCCUUUAGAGCGGCCCGCGUCUGAUUAGCUAGUUGGUUGAGGUAAUGGCUCACCAAGGCGACGAUCAGUAGCUGGUCUGAGAGGAUGAUCAGCCACAUUGGGACUGAGACACGGCAAAAACUCCUACGGGAGGCAGCAGUGGGGAAUCUUGCGCAAUGGGCGAAAGCCUGACGCAGCCAUGCCGCGUGAAUGGUGAAGGUCUUAGGAUUGUAAAAUUCUUUCACCGGGGACGAUAAUGACGGUACCCGGAGAAGAAGCCCCGGCUAACUUCGUG